rnacentral:rRNA from 1 species
UUUGACAUGGCAGGAAUCCUUUAGAGAUAGAGGAGUGCUCGAAAGAGAACCUGCACACAGGUGCUGCAUGGCUGCCGUCAGCUCGUGUCGUGAGAUGUUGGGUUAAGUCCCGCAACGAGCGCAACCCUUGUCAUUAGUUGCUACGAAAGGGCACUCUAAUGAGACUGCCGGUGACAAACCGGAGGAAGGUGGGGAUGACGUCAAGUCCUCAUGGCCCUUAUAGGUGGGGCUACACACGUCAUACAAUGGCCGGUACAAAGGGCAGCCAACCCGCGAGGGGGAGCCAAUCCCAUAAAGCCGGUCGUAGUCCGGAUCGCAGUCUGCAACUCGACUGCGUGAAGUCGGAAUCGCUAGUAAUCGCAAAUCAGAAUGUUGCGGUGAAUACGUUCCCGGGCCUUGUACACACCGCCCGUCACACCAUGGGAGUGGGUUGCACCAGAAGUAGUUAGUCUAACCUUAGGGGGGACGAUUACCACGGUGUGAUUCAUGACUGGGGUGAAGUCGUAACAAGGUAACCAAUC